rnacentral:rRNA from 1 species
GUUUGAUUCUGGCUCAGGAUGAACGCUGGCGGCAUGCCUAAUACAUGCAAGUCGAACGGAGUGAAGCCUUCGGGUUUCAUUCAGUGGCGAACGGGUGAGUAAUACGCAGGGAACCUGGCCAUGGCAGGGGGAUACACUCUGGAAACGGAGCAUAAGACCCCAUAGGCAGUAAGGCGGCAUCGCCUUACUGUUAAAGAAAGCUGAAAGGCUUUGGCGAUGGAUGGACCUGCGGUGCAUUAGCUUGUUGGUGAGGCAACGGCUUACCAAGGCGAUGAUGCAUAGCCGGCCUGAGAGGGCGGACGGCCACACUGGGACUGAGACACGGCCCAGACUCCUGCGGGAGGCAGCAGUAGGGAAUUUUCGUCAAUGGGCGCAAGCCUGAACGAGCAAUGCCGCGUGAGUGAGGAAGGUCUUCGGACUGUAAAGCUCUGUUGCCGGGGAAAAAGGGGAAAUGCAGGAAAUGGCAUUUCAUGGAUGGUACCCGGCCAGAAAGCCACGGCUAACUACGUGCCAGCAGCCGCGGUAAUACGUAGGUGGCGAGCGUUAUCCGGAAUGAUUGGGCGUAAAGGGUGCGCAGGCGGUCUGUUAAGUCUGAAGGCAAAGAGAUGAGCCCAACUCAUUUAUGAUUCAGAAACUGGCAGACUUGAGGACAGGAGAGGGCGGUGGAACUCCAUGUGUAGCGGUAAAAUGCGCAGAGAUAUGGAAGAACACCAGUGGCGAAGGCGGCCGCCUGGCCUGUGACUGACGCUGAGGCACGAAAGCGUGGGGAGCAAAUAGGAUUAGAUACCCUAGUAGUCCACGCCGUAAACGAUGAGGAGCAGGUGUUGGGAGUGAAAUCUCAGUGCCGAAGCCAACGCAGUGACUCCUCCGCCUGGGGAGUAUGCACGCAAGUGUGAAACUCAAAGGAAUUGACGGGGGCCCGCACAAGCGGUGGAGUAUGUGGUUUAAUUCGAAGCAACGCGAAGAACCUUACCAGGUUUUGACAUCGGAUGCGAAGGCGCAGAGAUGCGCUGGAGGCUAUCAUCCAGACAGGUGGUGCAUGGUUGUCGUCAGCUCGUGUCGUGAGAUGUUCAGUUAAGUCUGGCAACGAGCGCAACCCCCGUGGUAUGUACUAACGCAUUUGGGCGAGGACUCAUAUCAGACUGCCGGUGACAAACCGGAGGAAGGCGGGGAUGACGUCAAAUCAUCAUGCCCCUUAUGACCUGGGCUACACACGUACUACAAUGGCGUCUACAGAGGGAAGCGACCCUGAGAAGGGAAGCGAAACCGGAAAAGGGCGUCCCAGUUCGGAUUGAAGUCUGCAACCCGACUUCAUGAAGAUGGAAUCGCUAGUAAUCGCGGAUCAGCAUGCCGCGGUGAAUACGUUCCCGGGCCUUGUACACACCGCCCGUCAAACCAUGGAAGCCGGCAACGCCCGAAGCCGGUGGCAUAACCUUUUAGGAGUGAGCCGUCGAAGGCGGGGCCGAUGACUGGGGUUAAGUCGUAACAAGGUACCC